rnacentral:sRNA from 1 species
CUUUAAGCUUCCGGAAUCCGGUUGCGGUUCUAGUUCUUAUGCCUAAUGAUACACAAACCAUCUUGUCAUAUUUGACUACAAAUCCGCUAACCAAGCUUCUUCUUGAUUCUCAAAGCUUUGAUAGUGAAGCCGAAGUUCUUAUGAGUUUUUGGUUUUGAAUCGUUUAACAAGGAAGCACUACUUUACUUUUCGCGAUCUAGUUGAGGUUCUAGUUUUAUAUUUAAUCAUACACAUGACAUCUAGUCAUAUUUCACUUUGAAACGCUAACCCAAAUUCUUCUUGCUUCUCUAAGUAUCAGAGUAUAUUUGAUCCUAAACCCUAAACCCUAAACCAUAUACCCCAAACUUUUAAACCUAAACCCUACUUUAGCUUGCGGAAUCCAGUUGCGGUUCUAGUUCUUAUACUCAAUGAUACACAAAGCAUCUAGUCAUAAUUGACUACAAAUACGCUAACCAAGCUUCUUGAUUCUCAAAGCUUUGAUGGUCAAGGCGA